CCGACACACACACACACACCAUUCUUGAGCUAUGUGUGUGUGUGUGUGUGUGUGUGUGUGUGUGUGUGUGUGUGUUAACACAAUGCGAGGACUAUAAGAGGGUCUUUAUCUGCUACUGAUGGGGAACAAGGGAACGGGGCAAUGCUUAAGAUUCCAUUCAUUGGUGAAGACACACACACACACACACACACACACACACACACACAGAGAACCUACUCUCUCUCAUACACACACUCCAUUAAUGCAGAUGGGUGUAAAUGAUACAACAUGAGAGGACUUACGUUUCAGGUAACACAACCCAGCCAGCUGCUCUUGGGGGUCUCGCAUAACUGGCUGCACACACAGCAAACAGCCAGUGGGUGUGUGUAUAUGUAUGUGUAUGUGUGAGUGUGUGUGUGUGUGUGUGUGUGUGUGUGUGUUUUACACAGUUAAAAUGGAAACCCUGAAACCAGGUCCCUGCACCUGCUACAUAACCCUGUUAUUAGACUAUAUGGCAGUGUUCCAAAGCUUACUGAGCAAAACUCACUAAAACGGUAACGCUUGCACGGGCUUUUUUUCUUUCUUUCUUGUUUUUUCUCCUUUCUUUCUGUUUUUUUUUUCCUCUCGGUUUAGCUGAGAAGUUACUCUUUAUUAGCUUGGUCUUGGAGGGAAGUCAAAAGGAAAGCACUCUUAAAUAUCAGAAUGCACGCAUCACUCUGGCCUGGUGAGUAUCUCCUCGCACCAGCGAUAAGCUACGGCAAUAUGGCAUCCGUUUCUGCUUGUUUUGUUGGCCUGCAGCCCAGGCUUCAUUGUUCUGCCUCCGUAUCCUGCCCUGCACUCAUUUACUGCUCCCUCCUUCCCUAUUUGUUCGCCGUGGCAACCGUCCCGCCUGCUGAUUGGUCAGCAAUAGCUGGCAGUUCAAUUAGCCAGUAAUGUCAUGUUUACCUUUCAGACCGCAGAGGGGGAAGUCCCUAGCAAACACACACACACACACACACACACACAUAUAUCUAUAUAUAUAUUAUAUAUAUAUAUAUAUAUAUACACCCACACACACGUUUGUCUUACUAUCCUUGUGAGAGCCUUAAUUAUUAACGCAGCUAAUUAAACACUAUGCCCACACCUAGCCCUAACCCUGGCUUUAACCUCACUAACCAAAAGGCUCAGGUUUAACACGCCUGUUCACACACAUGUGCGCUCCCCCCCUCCACCCCCGCACACACACACACACCCAAGUGUAACAUGACAAUGUUUUUCAUUUCUAUCUGUGCGUCGUGCAUUUGCACACUUGUUUCCUUCGACAUUUUAUAAGUCCACCAGGCACGCUAAGGAAAAGCAAGGCCGCUAAUCUGUACCAUCCAUUGUGACUGAGGUAAUAUCUCAAGGGGAUACUUUUUGUACCUUUUAUAUGUAUCUUUUACCUAGAAAGGUGGAUGAAGUGUACUUCAAUACGGUAUAAUUAUGCACUUUCAAUCUUUUUCAGAUGACACAUUUCAUACAUAUUCAAGGCACAAACGAAAAAGGAUACCACCCCACUAACAUGAUACACUACGGUUUAGUACAAUAUUUAUUUUUUUUUAAAGUGCACCGAUUAUGGUUUUUCAAAUAUUACCUUUCAUGUAGUGCGUUAGAGCUGUUUGUGAAUGUAAAAGUCUGCAAAGUCUCAAAAAUCAAAGCGCAUGACGAACGGAGUUAUUGACUCCCGAAAGAAGGAAGUGAUUCUACGUAGGUUUGUAACAGACGGAGCUGAAACUCGCUAUAGUAGUGGGCGUUUCCUUUUCGACACGUGCAGACCAAUCACAACAGACUGGGACGACUGACCAAUCAGAGCAGAGUAUGCUCUCUGAAAGGAGGAGUUUGGAAUGAAUCCUUUAGAACGGAUCACUGAACGAGUCGUUUGUGACACUGGGGGGAAAAAGGUAAUGCUGCAGUUUAAAUUAUGAGCACGUUAAAGUGUUUUUUGGCCUUGGGUGCAUGUAAAAUCUGUUGUAUGAGACCUUUAAAACAAAAUUAGGCAAAUGUCAACGAAAAUGGACACGAGAAACAUUGCCGUGUUGCAUGUCGCGUGUGUACGAGAGUGUACCACCGUGUGCAUGCCUCCAGAAGGUACUCCGGUUAUAACUUCACUCGAGCAAGUUAACAUGCAGAAACCAUACUUACCAGCAUCAGCUAAUGUCAACUGGAUGCUUAACUCACUGACAGGGAUCAUGUAUGGAAACCUGAGCAUGUAAGACUUGUCAGAAAGACAAUGUCCGAAAAAAAAAAAAACCUUCGGAGAUUUUCAUAGCUGUGGAUUCGAGCGUGCGCUGAGAUGAAUCUCUAACUUGAAUAUCCGUGCCUGAACUACUCUCUGAAACACUCGCUCGCUCUCUCUCUUCGGGAAAUACAUCGCGCUUCUAGGACCGUGCUGUGCUUCAAGAUGACAAAGCGACGCUGACGUCACCUUUGAUUGCGAUUUACAAAUCCCAGCGUGGUCUUUUCAAGGUAGUUAAAGAAACUCCAUGGAAAGAACAGAAGGACAUGGCACAAGAAGGAAACGACACUGGAGGAGAGGAUUUGAAGAAAGAAGAGCGGGCAAGAGAGGGACUCCCUCGCUCGGCGGGUGCCAGUUGUAUAAUGAGUGUGUCAGUGUUGGUUAGUGUGUGUCGACCGCGCCAGCUCUCUGCCUGUGGACAGCUCUCAUUAGCCCUGUAAUGGCAUGCCACUGGGCCUGUGGGGAGAGAGAGAGAGAGAGAGAGAGAGAGAGAGAGAGAGAGAGAGAGAGAGAGAGCUACAAGUACAGAAUGAUGGAAAGAAUGAAAAAGGUGGAUUCCUCGAAAAACAGAAAGGAACAGGGAGUAAGUGGAGAGUGACAGAAGGACGGCGAGAGGAGGACGCGGCCCGGAGGAGACGAAAACGGAUGUCUAAACAGAUCCUCCAGCCGCGCUGAUCUCUAUUAACUCCUGGUCGGCUCGCUUUAACCACCGAGCCACUGCAGCUCAUCCUGUACGCACACUCAUUAAGCCCGGAGAGAUAAUGAUCCACCUAGGACGAUGAUGAAAAUGUUCGGCGCCAUGCGGGGAUGAUGAGUGCGUUUCGGAAUUCUUGCUGGUUCAGAGGUCGCCAAAUACGAACGAGAAAGCUGGUAGCACUUGUGUAGAAUUAGACGGGUGACGGAUUAAAAGACACACCGGCAGGAAACGUCUUAGUAACGUGUUACGCCAGCACAAACCACCAGAACGAGACUUGAACCUGUCCCAGUACCAUUCUUCCAGUAGAUAUUCUCUCAGUUGGUGUUUCGAUGAUAGUGACAUCCAAACCAGGGUGUAUUCCCUCCUCACUCCCAGUGUUAGGCUCUGUAGUUGGUUACUAAAGGUGAAUGAAUGAAUGGAUUUGGAAUUCAAGUUCAUCCAAAGCAAUGAACUGAGACUACAGUUAAGGGUGAAAAGUCUUGUUUGAGUCUCACCGGUGGUUCUCUGGGAGUUCCGGUACCUUCUGAUCCCUGCCUUCGGCUGUCAUAAGAACAGCAAAUGUAAACACUGUAUCGGGGUAUUUUUCCGUGUGUGUUUUCUCCUGUCUGCUCGCGUCAUGUCUUUCUCGCUACCUCCAGCUUUGCCCAAGGCUGCCCUCUUCUGCGUCUUAUCAAUCAAACUGCUCCGGAAUGAUAAGCGUUGAAUGUCGGUUUCGCAACUUUUCAUGCCAAUCAGUGGCUGUGAUGACAUGCCGGGAUGUGUUCGUACAGAGAGAGGUGUGCCUUUGAUUGGAAUACUGCAAUAACAAGCAUUUAAUCUGUUUAAAGCGGCAUGUUCCACUCAUGCCGCGUUUGUUUUACUUACACCGGAUUUGUACGAGAAACGUUCCGCGCGCGGUUUCUCUGGACGUGGAUUACGCCGAGUGCUGGACUUGAUUAGUCCGACAAUGGGGGGGAAAAGGUGUCGUGCGUAAAUCUGCGGCAAUAUAGGAACCCUUCUGCUUUGUAUAUCUGCCACCAUAAACAUGCACGGAGACGGUAGAGAGAGAUGGGUCUUGCAAUGUCACAGACAUGAAGAUCGGCUCAUUACAGACUGCGGCUGGUAUUAAAGUUAAGAGCUUUUAUACAGGAGCACUUCCACAGCUGUGAUGGUGGCAUUUAGGCCUUUAGAUCCAAAACAACGUGUAUGUGUGAGCGUGUGCGAUGUGUUAAGUGUGUGCAUCUGUGUAUGAACGAAGAGGAGAGAGUUAAAACUCUUAUCUCUGGGCUGCAGAAGACAUUCCUCUAUGAGGCCACAGUUCGCUGGUUUCCUGCCCACUUGCCCAAUGCCCUAUUUUUACCCCCUGCCUUUACCAGUACCCGAGGCAGCCUUUUCCUCCUAACACACACACACUUCCUGCCAUUGACAUACCUCCUCGACACCGGCUUGCAAAUGGGAAUACCCCAUGCCUUGCUACUGUUACCUCUUUGUGCAAGAGGUAGGGAUCACACGAGUGCACUACAUAUAGCCUACGGUUCCAAAGAGCCAACCUGACUAGCCUAGGAGAUGACUUCAGAACAUUUCCAUAUUUCUGAAUGAAAAGGGGAAAGUGUAAGGGGUGGGGGGGGGGGGGGGGAUUAUGGGUGUAGCAUGGCACAAGACAAAAGCUAAGAGAGACGGGAGGGACGAGAGGAUGAUAGAUAAUACUUUCCGUCCUGCUGUCUUCUGGCAUGAUCACUUGAUCACGGUCUUUGAUAAGCAAUGACGCUUUCAUCCAUGCAUCCAUCCAUCCAUCUUCUAUACCGCUUUAUCCUUUUCAGGGUCACGGGGAACCUGGAGCCUAUCCCAGGGAGCAUGGGGCACAAGGUGGGUACACCCUGGACAGGGUGCCGAUCCAUCGCCCAUUCCACACCCAUUCAUACACUACGGACACUUUGGACACGCCAAUCAGCCUACCAUGCAUGUCUUUGGACUGGGGGAGGAAACCGGAGUACCCGGAGGAAACCCCCGCAGCACGGGGAGAACAUGCAAACUCCGCACACACAGGGUCACGGUGUAAUCGAACCCCCGACCCUGGAGGUGUGAGGCGAACGUGCUGACCUCUAAGGCGAUGACGCUUUUACAGCUGCAAAAUCUAUGUUCAAAAGUAGGUUCGUUGCAAAUUAUUCUCAUCAACCCCAAACAUAAGACCGACUGUUUCUCGAGCAUUUUCUUCACGUGUUCUUGGUUUCGCCUGACUGCUGAAACCAUGGUCUGCAAAGAGCUGGCAAAGCCUGUACAGAGUC
ensembl:lncRNA